rnacentral:rRNA from 1 species
ACUCAAAUGAAUUGACGGGGGCCCGCACAAGCGGUGGAGCAUGUGGUUCAAUUCGACGCAACGCGAAGAACCUUACCUGGGCUCGAACGGCUCACGAUCAACUGUGGAAACACGGUUUUCCCGCAAGGGACGGGAGUCGAGGUGCUGCAUGGCUGUCGUCAGCUCGUGUCGUGAGAUGUUGGGUUAAGUCCCGCAACGAGCGCAACCCUCGUCCUGUGUUGCUAACCGAAAGGUGCACUCUCAGGAGACCGCCGGCGAUAAGCUGGAGGAAGGUGGGGAUGACGUCAAGUCAUCAUGGCCUUUAUGUCCAGGGCUACACACGUGCUACAAUGGACGGUACAAACCGCCGCAAACCCGCGAGGGGGAGCAAAUCGGAGAAAACCGUUCUCAGUUCGGAUCGCAGGCUGCAACUCGCCUGCGUGAAGCUGGAAUCGCUAGUAAUGGCGUAUCAGAACGACGCCGUGAAUACGUUCCCGGGCCUUGUACACACCGCCCGU